AAAAUGUUAGUUGCUGAAAGGAGAGUUGAAGCUACGGAAAUGAAGAAAAAAAGAGAGAAAGAAAAGCACUUCCUAUAUUCAAUAUAGUUGGUUGUAUAUCUCCCAAUUUAAUCUGUGAAUUUAUGUUUCUCUGAUAUUCAAACAGCUUUGUGUCUUUUAUUUUGUGUUUGAAAGCAAGCUUUGUUUUGUUGCAAUGAAAAACACAUCCUGGUCAUCUCCCCUGUUUUUCCCAAAAAGAUGCCGAGGCCACAUUAUAGGUUCUCCAAGUCCUCUUUAUUUUUGUCAUAAUGAGUCUGUGUUCCAUGUGUUGCGAGACUGCUUUGCUGCCAAGGCUGCUUGGGCUUAUUUGCUUGACAGGUGUGGUGGAUCUCAG
rnacentral:misc_RNA from 1 species